AUCGGCGCUUCUGAUCACGAGAGAGAAAAUCAAUCAAUCGCGUUUUGCGAACGUUAAAAAUUGAAUAACUCAGUCAGUUUAAAAAUCGUGCAUUAAACUCCUCGGAGACUAUUCCUAAGAGGAGGUUUCGGGCUUAGAAAUGAUUAUUUAAAAAGUCUUCAGAGUCAAAGUUUCAACCUCUGAAAUACUCUCUGUCUACCACCGCACCCCGUUUGUCAAGAACUUAUUAAGCUCUCCGUCGAGUGACAUAGUCGGCGGUAAUCGUCAAAUGGUGAAGCCAAGAAGAGACACGUUGAACAAAAACCGAAAAGCGGACGGCGUAAAGAGUAAGAGAGAUGAAUGCAUCCGAUCGAUGUUCGGACCUAUAAGCCCAUUUUAACGGUUCGCCGCGUGACCGAGUUAGUGGCCAACCAACGUCAAAGUACAUACCGAAGUACCUUGUGUGGAUAGUGGCGACAGGGGACAUCUCUACGGUCUCACCUGUUUGUCUUGGCUCUUAUCUUCUCGAUUGUAUAGCGAGCAAGCUGGACCGAUUGGGUGGCUGUUAUAUCGCCGCUGUUGCCGCUGUGUUUUAUCUCUACUCAAUGAAUCUUAUACCUAGAUAAAUUCACCAGAUUCUCUAUCGCCCUGCAUUUAAUGGAUUAAAUACCCUUCCUACGACAGAUAUAUGAUACAGCUAUCGAUUUCCUCUUAUCACUACCUAUAGUUUCGCAGUUGUACCGUUCCCUAUGCGUUCAACAUUUUUCGCGCCUCACGAAUUCAGUUUUUAUGAAAAUUUCCUAUUUUCCUGUAUUUUGAGGAUUUCGUUUGCGGCGCCUGACUUUCGAUUACCUUUUUUCGGAUAGACGGUGAAUCUUCAGUCCCCCAAUUGGAUCAGAAGGAGAUGCUUGCCGACGGUCAAUCCGUUUGAAUGAUCAUCAAAGCAACGAGUUAUGCGGUACGUCUACUCGUGCCUGAUUUUGUACAAUGAACCAGCAGAGAGACAUACGUUCCAAAACCGUCACGUAUGUUCAGGAGUUUCCCGACGAAUCAGACGGAAUGGAUUCACCGCACCGCAGCGAUGCGAACGAACGACCCCGUGCUCUCUGCCAGCUGUUCCUACGGGCGGCAACGGCAAGCAGGAGGACGCGGACGAGUAGAAUCGGAUUGUGUACGACGUCGUGCGUCGCGUCGCGCCGCCGCUCCGACGAGAGCACAAAGUCACGGUCGUUCCAGAAAAGUAACAAUCGAAAGUAGUCUGCGCGGCGCCGAUGCAGCAGCAGCAGCAGCAGCAGCAGCAGCAGCAUUUACUGCGGAGUCUGCAGACGCACAGGGAUUCAGGAUCGUUACCCGCGAAUGGUUUUCAUUCCGUCGAGGCGACGCGCUGCCGUCUGACCUGACUACCAAAUGAGAUGAGAUGUUCACCAUCAUGGCUCCGUGAACUUCGUCGUUCCGCUCGGUCGCUCGGUGGACCAAAUAUGCGAGCCAAUAUUCCGAGAGGGGUUACCUGAACCGGUCAGGAGGGAUCCACCGAAUCCCCAGCGCGGCGCUCUUAUCUCCUCGAAAACCUGCGUCACCGUACAGCUUGACCGAACGAGAGGGACGGAAACCGGUGACGAUCACCAAAGAAUUACAAGUGGCGUAUCUUCAAACGCCGCCGCUGGCUGAUCUACAAGAAUAGUUGCGCUGCAGGUAUUUCAAAAUGAAGUAAUGGAAAAAGAAAAAACAAAAAAAACACCUUAGAAUAGGAUGUAUUUCGAAUUCCGUUGCUGCAGCAGCAGCAAUCUCACCGUUUCAUUUAUUCAACGUCCGUCUGAUGGAUGCAUUUCCGUGUAUCAAAUUUGAAUAUGCCUUAGACAGUCGUAGUUAAUAUUCCUCGAGUAUUUUCUUCGCUUUUCUUUUUAUGUUUUUCCUCGCCCCGUUUCUGGGGGAACCCCGUGACGUAGAAAACUUCUUUCCGUUUUCUUUUAUUGACCAGGUUAAACGGUACGUGGGAAAGAUGAAAAGUCAAACUGAUCGGAGCGCUCAAAUGUUGUGGGGGAAGGCCGCCCUUCCGCGUAGUCCGAAUCGCCCGAUGAAUUUAAAAAGUUUCGCAGAUCGGCGGAACUUGAAAGUUCAAGGUUUUGCCGAGAAAUUCCUCUCGAGAGGAGGAUCUAUAAUAAUUGCAGUAGAGAUUUUUGCGGUCGGU